rnacentral:rRNA from 1 species
GCUGCAACUCGCCUACAUGAAGUCGGAAUUGCUAGUAAUCGCGGAUCAGCAUGCCGCGGUGAAUACGUUCCCGGGCCUUGUACACACCGCCCGUCACACCAUGAGAGCCGGUAACACCCGAAGUCAGUAGCCUAAUCGCAAGGGGGGCGGCUGCCGAAGGUGGGAUUGGUAAUUGGGGUGAAGUCGUAACAAGGUAAC